rnacentral:rRNA from 1 species
GAUGAACGCUAGCGGCAGGCUUAAUACAUGCAAGUCGAGGGGCAUCAGCUUAUAGCAAUAUAGGGCUGGCGACCGGCAAACGGGUGCGGAACACGUACACAACCUUCCUUUAAGAGGGGGAUAGCCCAUAGAAAUGUGGAUUAAUACCCCGUAAGAUAGUGGGAUGGCAUCAUACUACUAUUAUAGUUACGACGCUUGAAGAUGGGUGUGCGUCUGAUUAGGUAGUUGGCGGGAUAAAGGCCCACCAAGCCUUCGAUCAGUAGCUGAUGUGAGAGCAUGAUCAGCCACACGGGCACUGAGACACGGGCCCGACUCCUACGGGAGGCAGCAGUAAGGAAUAUUGGUCAAUGGACGCAAGUCUGAACCAGCCAUGCCGCGUGAAGGAUGAAGGUCCUCUGGAUUGUAAACUUCUUUUAUAGGGGGCGAAAAAAGGGAAAUCUUUCUCACUUGACAGUACCCUAUGAAUAAGCACCGGCUAACUCCGUGCCAGCAGCCGCGGUAAUACGGAGGGUGCAAGCGUUAUCCGGAUUCACUGGGUUUAAAGGGUGCGUAGGCGGGCGUAUAAGUCAGUGGUGAAAUCCUGGAGCUUAACUCCAGAACUGCCAUUGAUACUAUAUGUCUUGAAUAUGGUGGAGGUAAGCGGAAUAUGUCAUGUAGCGGUGAAAUGCAUAGAUAUGACAUAGAACACCUAUUGCGAAGGCAGCUUACUACGCCUAUAUUGACGCUGAGGCACGAAAGCGUGGGGAUCAAACAGG